rnacentral:tRNA from 1 species
CGGGGAAUAGCUCAGCCUGGUAGAUCACUGUCUUCGGGAGGCAGGGGCCGGAGGUUCGAAUCCUCUUUCCCCGACCA